rnacentral:rRNA from 1 species
ACGCUCGACACCUACGGAAGGCAGCAGUCGGGAAUAUUGUGCAAUGGAGGAAACUCUGACGCAGUGACGCCGCGUAUAGGAAGAAGGUUUUCGGAUUGUAAACUAUUGUCGUUAGGGAAGAAAAAGGACAGUACCUAAGGAGGAAGCUCCGGCUAACUACGUGCCAGGAGCCGCGGUAAUCUGAGCGGGCUGGCAAGGC